rnacentral:rRNA from 1 species
UACGUAGGGACCGAGCGUUGUCCGGAAUCAUUGGGCGUAAAGAGCGUGUAGGCGGCCACUUAAGUCCUGCGUGAAAUCUUGCGGCUCAACCGCAAGCGGUCGUGGGAAACUGGGUGGCUAGAGUGCGGGAGAGGAGAGUGGAAUUCCUGGUGUAGCGGUGGAAUGCGCAGAUAUCAGGAGGAACACCGGUGGCGAAGGCGGCACUCUGGGCCGGUACUGACGCUGAGGAGCGAAAGCGUGGGGAGCGAACAGG